rnacentral:rRNA from 1 species
AAAUUGAAGAGUUUGAUCAUGGCUCAGAUUGAACGCUGGCGGCAGGCCUAACACAUGCAAGUCGAACGGUAACAGGAAGCAGCUUGCUGCUUUGCUGACGAGUGGCGGACGGGUGAGUAAUGUCUGGGAAACUGCCUGAUGGAGGGGGAUAACUACUGGAAACGGUAGCUAAUACCGCAUAACGUCGCAAGACCAAAGAGGGGGACCUUAGGGCCUCUUGCCAUCGGAUGUGCCCAGAUGGGAUUAGCUAGUAGGUGGGGUAACGGCUCACCUAGGCGACGAUCCCUAGCUGGUCUGAGAGGAUGACCAGCCACACUGGAACUGAGACACGGUCCAGACUCCUACGGGAGGCAGCAGUGGGGAAUAUUGCACAAUGGGCGCAAGCCUGAUGCAGCCAUGCCGCGUGUAUGAAGAAGGCCUUCGGGUUGUAAAGUACUUUCAGCGGGGAGGAAGGGUGUAAAGUUAAUACCUUUGCUCAUUGACGUUACCCGCAGAAGAAGCACCGGCUAACUCCGUGCCAGCAGCCGCGGUAA